AAGCGCCUGACGGCAGCUUUCCGGUGGUGGGAAAGUGAACGAAGCCGGAAUCAAAGCGGCGUAUCUUUGAGGCAGGUGGGGCGCCUGUGAAAGAGGGAAGGCAGGCGACUGGCUAGGGCCUGGCCCGAGAGUCCGGCAGAGCAGCAGCUGCAGAAGCAGGCAGCGGCAGAGAGGGCAUGGUGCCGGGAGGCGCCGUCCGUCCCUCCCAGGGUUAGUGAAUGAGGCUCUCCGCCCGGGCUAGCCCGGGGACUGUGCCCUGCGGGUCCCAGCAUGAGCGCGGGCCCCGGCUGUGAGCCCUGCACCAAGAGACCCCGCUGGGGCGCCGCUGCAACUUCUCCGCCGGCCGCCUCGGACGCCCGGAGCUUCAGCGGCAGGCAGAGGCGCGUCCUACAUUCCAAGGACGCUCCGGUGCAGUUCAGGGUCCCGCCGUCCUCGUCAGGCUGCCUCCCGGGGCGGGCGGGACCGCACAGAGGCAGCGCCACCUCGCUUGUUUUCAAACAAAAGACUAUUACCAGUUGGAUGGACACUAAAGGAAUCAAGACAGCUGAAUCAGAAAGUUUGCAUAGUAAAGAAAACAACAAUACAAGAGAAGAAUCCAUGAUGAGUUCUGUACAAAAAGAUAACUUUUAUCAACAUAACAUGGAAAAAUUAGAAAAUGUUUCUCAGCUAGGUUUUGAUAAAUCACCAGUUGAAAAAAGUACACAAUAUUUGAACCAGCAUCAGACUGCAGCUGUGUGUAAGUGGCAAAGUGAAGGGAAACAUUCAGAGCAGCUUUUGGAAAGUGAACCUCCAACAGUAACUCUGGUACCAGAGCAGUUCAGUAAUGCUAACGUUGAUCAGUCAUCCCAAAAUGAUGAUCACAGUGACACAAAUAGUGAGGAGAGUAGAGAUAAUCAACAAUUUUUGACACCUGUAAAGCUUGUGAAUGCAAAGCAGACAACAGAAGCUGAACAGGGCGUAGGAGCCAGAAGCCACCAGAAGUGCAGUAAGGCUUGCCAUCCUGCAGAAGACUGUGUGGGGUGUCAGCAGGAAGAGACAGAUGUGGUGCCAGAGAGCCCCUUGUCAGAUAUUGGCUCUGAGGAUGUUGGUACUGGACUGAAAAAUGCCAACAAAUUGAGUAGACGAGAAAGUAGCCUAGGAAAUUCUCCUCCAUUUGAGAAAGAAAGUGAACCCGAGUCACCAAUGGAUGUAGAUAAUUCCAAAAAUAGUUGUCAGGGCUCAGAAGCAGAUGAAGAGACCAGUCCAGGUUUUGAUGAACAGGAAGAUAGCAGUUCCACCCAAACAGCAAGUAAACCUUCAAGGUUCCAAGCGAGAGAAACUGACACUGAAUUGAGGAAACGGUCCUCUGCUAAGGGGGGUGAGAUUCGAUUACAUUUCCAAUUUGAAGGAGAGAGUCGCACUGGAAUGAAUGAUAUAAAUGUCAAACUACCUGGAAGUACUUCUAGCCUGAAUGUAGAGUGCAGAAAUUCUAAGCAACAUGGGAAAAAGGAUUCUAAAAUCACAGAUCAUUUCAUGAGAAUACCCAAAACAGAGGACAAAAGAAAAGAACAAUGUGAAAUCAAACAUCAAAGAACAGAAAGGAAGAUCCCUAAAUACAUUCCACCUCACCUUUCUCCAGAUAAGAAAUGGCUUGGAACUCCUAUUGAGGAGAUGAGAAGAAUGCCAAGGUGUGGGAUCCGGCUGCCUCCCUUGAGACCAUCUGCCAGUCACACAGUGACUAUUCGGGUAGAUCUUUUGCGAGCAGGAGAAGUUCCUAAACCUUUUCCGACACAUUUUAAAGAUUUGUGGGACAACAAGCAUGUUAAAAUGCCUUGCUCAGAACAAAACUUGUACCCUGUGGAAGAUGAGAACGGUGAGCGAACUGCAGGGAGCCGGUGGGAGCUCAUUCAGACUGCACUUCUCAACAAAUUCACUCGACCCCAAAACCUGAAGGAUGCUAUACUGAAAUACAAUGUGGCAUAUUCUAAGAAAUGGGACUUUACAGCUUUGGUUGAUUUCUGGGAUAAGGUACUAGAAGAAGCAGAAGCUCAACAUUUAUACCAGUCCAUUUUGCCUGAUAUGGUGAAAAUUGCACUCUGUCUGCCAAAUAUUUGCACCCAGCCAAUACCGCUCCUGAAACAGAAGAUGAAUCAUUCCAUCACAAUGUCACAGGAGCAGAUUGCCAGUCUUUUAGCUAAUGCUUUCUUCUGCACAUUUCCACGGCGCAAUGCUAAGAUGAAAUCGGAGUAUUCUAGUUAUCCAGAUAUUAACUUUAAUCGGUUGUUUGAAGGACGUUCAUCAAGGAAACCAGAGAAGCUUAAAACACUCUUCUGCUACUUUAGAAAAGUCACAGAGAAAAAACCUACUGGGUUGGUGACAUUUACAAGACAGUGUCUUGAAGAUUUUCCAGAGUGGGAAAGAUGUGAAAAACUCCUGACUAGAUUGCAUGUCACUUAUGAAGGUACCAUAGAAGGAAAUGGUCAAGGCAUGCUACAGGUGGAUUUUGCAAACCGUUUUGUUGGAGGUGGUGUAACCAGUGCAGGACUUGUGCAAGAAGAAAUCCGCUUUUUAAUCAACCCUGAGUUGAUUGUUUCACGGCUCUUCACUGAGGUGCUGGAUCACAAUGAAUGUCUUAUCAUCACAGGUACUGAACAGUACAGUGAAUACACAGGCUAUGCUGAAACAUACCGUUGGGCCCGGAGCCAUGAAGAUAGGAGUGAAAGGGAUGACUGGCAGCGGCGCGGCUCUGAAAUCGUCGCCAUCGACGCCCUUCACUUCAGACGCCACCUCGACCAGUUUGUGCCUGAGAAAAUCAGACGUGAGCUUAACAAGGCCAGUAACCUCGUUUCUUAGUUUAUCUGGCAGCUGUCAUCUAUUUACUGCCAUUUUAUUAAUGCUGAAAUUAAUGCUUUCUGGUAAUUCUUGCAGUGUCAGUCCGUCUGCCCACAGCUCUCCUGAUUUAAUGGGUCUGUCAGCUUGUACAGGAUGUACUUUCCAUUUUGUAAUUGUUUGAUUACUGAUGCCAGAUAGGCUGUUGCUUGAUAUUAAGCCCUCACAUGCAUUUAUCUCAUCAAGUACAUUUAGCUGCUUUGGAACAUUAUCAUUGUAAAACCAUAUAGAUGUGAGUGAACUGUGAAAGUUUUUUUCAGACCUGCCCAAUGACAUUUUCUCUACAAGGUAUGCUGUCAGGAUUAAAACAGAUAAACCCAUGAAAGUCAAGUCACUAUUGUUCUAGUACAGGCAUGUUUGGAGAAUUUGACAGGAAAGCAAGUGGCAAAUUUAUGUCUAUUCUGACAGAAAGUCUGUUCAUUCCCUUGUUGGCAUAAAGGCGGAGACUAUAUCUUUCAAGAAACUGCUCAAAAAAUUGAGCUCUUUGAUAGCUUUGACCUGAAAGAGAUUUUCAGAAGCUCUAUGCAUCUGAUUAUACAGGUAAUUUGUGAGUUCUAGUGUAAGCUCUGUGCCACAGCAUUGAAUAAUGGUUUGGUACCAACUUAUAAUUAAUAUCUGUCAGGAUUUACAGCCUAGGAGGGGGUGGAAGGAACAGCCUUGUUAAUCCAUCCAGACAGUACGUAAAAUAAAUUUUUAUACCUUUGUAGCAACUUCAGAGAGCAAUUUACGGUAUUUCUCCGUGUGGGUUUCAUAGAAGCAUCUUUCUUUAUCCUUAGUUUUUUCUCUGGGAACAUUUGUCACACAUCAUUCUUUUAAUUUUAUUUACUGUUAUACAUAAGCUAUAUUUUAGGCUUUGUUGGGUACUUGAGAAAGCCCAGGGGAGAUCUGCUUUGCUAUUGUAUUAAACCUCUUAAUAUAGUCUGAUAGUUUCAGAAAACUAAGAACCCUUAGGAGACAGAAAGACCAACUAGUCUGACAGCAAAGAAAUGGAAAUCAGAAACUCUGGGACCUUAAACUGCAGUCUUCUCAUAUAUAAAAUGAGCUGUUCAUUUAAUUAAUACUUAGCCAGCAUCCUCAGGAUAUAUUGUGCUUUUCUCAGGUUACUGGCAAAUUUUAAAAUAUUGCAGCUUAAAACAGCUGUGAAACUAGAGAAUCUUGGAGCUGGAAGGGUUAUUAAAGGUUAUCUUGUAACCAGGUAUAGGAGUCCCUUUUAAAUAUGGUUGGUCAUUUUAUAUUAUAUAGUUGUUUAAGCAUUUCAGUGGCAGGAAGCACAUUUAAAAGCUAAUCACAGUUAUUAACCUAGUCCUAGCAAAUCAGAGAGAGUGCUGAGGAAGGAUUAUACUAGUAACUCUUUAAUGAAAAAAUAGUAAUCAAAAGUUUUCAGAUGCCUUAAAUGGCUUCAGUGUCUUCAAUGCCUUUCUAUCCUUCAGUCCCCUUGUAGUUUGUGAUUGGGAUCCCAUUAGUUUUUGAAAUAUCUCUGAUAUUUUCAUUUAUAAUUUUUUGAAUUGGAAAAAGAAACUGAGACCUGUAUUGGUUUAAAGGCUUUGAUUUUCCCAGCAUCAAAGCAAAUAAAUAUUAGAACUCAUCAUGUCUUACUUUCUUCCCUGUGUAAUCCUAGGAUUUUCUCUUUUUCCACUCUACUUUGACCCCUAGGGAAAAAAAAAGGAGAGAUCACAUAAGCUUGAUAAUGGUUACUGAUCCUAGUACAUCAGUCAGAAAUACU